AUGUCUUUUGUGGAACUCAAAAAAUGGAGAGAGUUUAGAAAAAAUAAAUUUGAAUGGAGAUUAAUACUGGUUUAUUUUGUGCAGAAUAGUAGUGAUGCAUUCUCUUCCGACAGGCUCCAAAUGAUGGUUAUUCUGCAGGAUUGGGAGAUGGAUGUAAUGUCCUUGUCCGUGCCAUUUGGUUUUGUGGGAAGAAAAAUGUUGAGUGUUGUUUUCAAUGGUGGAUGUGACAUCCGACGAUUGCCGAGGAAGAAAGGUGCGGGGGAGAGAAUCAAUUUGUGGUUUAUGAAUGGAAACCUUGUGUCAACAUGUUUGAUAUGUUUGCUUAUUACUCAAUGGUUGCAUUGGCAAAUGGGGCCUCAACAAUCUCUUGUGCCAUUUGAACUUUAA
rnacentral:rRNA from 1 species